UACGAAGGGGGCUAGCGUUGCUCGGAAUCACUGGGCGUAAAGGGUGCGUAGGCGGGUCUUUAAGUCAGGGGUGAAAUCCUGGAGCUCAACUCCAGAACUGCCUUUGAUACUGAAGAUCUUGAGUUCGGGAGAGGUGAGUGGAACUGCGAGUGUAGAGGUGAAAUUCGUAGAUAUUCGGAAGAACACCAGUGGCGAAGGCGACUCACUGGCCCGUUACUGACGCUGAUGCGCGAAAGCAUGGGGAGCGAACAGG
rnacentral:rRNA from 1 species